CCUCGGCCCGAGUUGUAAUUUGCAGAGGAUGCUUCUGGCGCGGUGCCUUCCGAGUUCCCUGGAACGGGACGCCACAGAGGGUGAGAGCCCCGUAUGGUCGGACACCAAGCCUGUGUGAAGCUCCUUCGACGAGUCGAGUAGUUUGGGAAUGCUGCUCAAAAUGGGAGGUAAAUCUCUUCUAAAGCUAAAUACUGGCCAGAGACCGAUAGCGCACAAGUAGAGUGAUCGAAAGAUGAAAAGCACCUUGAAAAGGGGGUUAAACAGUACGUGAAAUUGUUGAAAGGGAAGCGCUUGUGACCAGACUUGCGCCGGGCGGCUCAUCUGGGGUUCUCCCCUGUGUACUCCGCUCGGUUCAGGCCAGCAUCGGUUCUCGCUGGGGGAUAAGAACGGUGGGAACGUGGCCCUCCCUCGGGGGGGUGUUAUAGCCCGCCGUACGAUACCCUAGCGGGGACCGAGGUUCGCGCUCCGCAAGGAUGCUGGCGUAAUGGUCAUCAGCGACCCGUCUU
rnacentral:rRNA from 1 species